rnacentral:lncRNA from 1 species
CGUGAUCAUAGUUCACUGCAGCCUCAAACUCUCAGGCUCAAGCAAUCUUCCCACCUCAGCCUCUCAAGCAGCUGGGACCACAGGCACAUGCCACCAUACCAGGCCAUUUUAUUUAUUUUUUUAAAUAGAAACAGGGUCUGCACUGCCCAAGACAGUCUCAAACUCCUAGGCUCAAGUGAUCCAUCUGCUUCGGCCUCCCACAGUUCUGAGAUUAUAGGCACGAGACACUACGCCUAGACUAAAGAUAUUUUCAUAUUCCUUAGUUAUGCAAACUAAAAGAUUGUGCAACUGAAAAUUCACCUACUAAUGUAUAUAUUUGUUCUUGUUUAGACAAUAAUUACUAUAUUAUGCAAAUGGUGUUGACACUGUUAAGCUUUGACAAAGAGUAAAUGGGGGGGAUAUAUCUCCUGAAGAGUGAGAUUUGUAGCAACAGUUUGUUUCUCCCUCAAGAGAAGAGGGAAAAUAGUAUUAGGUGAGAAGGUAGCAAGGUAACAGCCUUUAUUUUAGAUUCACCUGGAUGGCAACUAUUCCUUCAUUCAUUUAUCAUUUAUGGAACACUUUAAACUUCUAUUACAUGCCAAGACACCAUUUUAGGCUUUUGGAUGUAUCCGUGAGCAAAAUACAAAGAACUCUCUGCCCUUGGGGAAUUCACAUUCUAAUCUGAGACAAAUCUAUAUAUAACAUACAUAAUAAAGCACAACAUUAGAGAUGAUGUUAGGAGGUGUUAUGUGCUACAGAACAAACAACAGGAUAGGUGGGAUUAAAAACCUGUAUAAACAGUCUAUAGGUUGGGAUUAUAAACCCUGGAGCUAAUCUGUUACAACAGAACCAAAUAGAGUAUAUGAAAAUACAAGCUUUCAAAAGUGUCUUAUACUCUACUUCCAUUCUAUUCCUCAGUGUUAGUUAUGUCUGAAAACACCAGAUGAGAAACGGAAAGAAAUGGAAUUUUGAUGUGCUCAAUCAGGCCAAUACUUCAGAAAUAUAGCAUCUUAUGGAUUACUGUUGGAGAAAUUCAGAAUCAGGAUGUCAGAAUUCAAGGGGGAAAAUAAGAACGUUUGAUCAGCCAACUCCUUUUGACCUACACACGUUCUUUCCAGAAUCAAAACUAGGGUGACUGGCCUCAUAGAAUAUGUAAAGGGAAAACGACAAUAACUAAGGUGCUUUUAUGCUCUGUUUUAAUAAAGAGAUACGCUGUUUUCAACACUCAAAAGUUUUAGCUUUGGGUCCCAAUCUCUCUUUUUAAAAAAUAAAAAAAGAAAAAUAACAAAAAAAAACAAGGCACACAGCAAGGCGCCUAAC